rnacentral:rRNA from 1 species
UACAGAGGUCUCAAGCGUUGUUCGGAUUCAUUGGGCGUAAAGGGCGCGUAGGCUGCGGGGCAAGUCGGGUGUGAAAUCUCAGAGCUCAACUCUGAAACUGCACUCGAUACUGCUUUGCUUGAGGACUGGAGAGGAGAUUGGAAUUCACGGUGUAGCAGUGAAAUGCGUAGAUAUCGUGAGGAAGACCAGUGGCGAAGGCGGAUCUCUGGACAAUUCCUGACGCUGAGGCGCGAAGGCCAGGGGAGCAAACGGG